rnacentral:rRNA from 1 species
CCUACGGGCGGCAGCAGUAGGGAAUCUUUCACAAUGGGCGAAAGCCUGAUGGAGCAACGCCGCGUGCAGGAUGAAGGCCUUCGGGUUGUAAACUGCUUUUAUAAGCGAGAAAUAUGAUGGUAACUUAUGAAUAAGGAUCGGCUAACUACGUGCCAGCAGCCGCGGUCAUACGUAGGAUCCGAGCAUUAUCCGGAGUGACUGGGUGUAAAGAGUUGCGUAGGUGGCAUAAUAAGUAGCUAGUGAAAUCUGGUGGGUCAACCAUUCAGACUAUUAGCGAAACUGUUAAGCUCGAGACCGGUAGGGGUAACUGGAAUUUCUAGUGUAGGAGUGAAAUCCGUAGAUAUUAGAAGGAACACCAAUAGCGUAGGCAGGUUACUGGGACGGUUCUGACACUAAGGCACGAAAGCGUAGGGAGCAAACGGGAUUAGAUACCCGGGUAGUC